AGUCACUCUGCCCUGUCACAUGUGGACUGUGAUGGAUGUCCAGGGACGCAGCUUCGGGAAGAAAAUCCCCAGACUGGAACUCUGAGACAAGAAGCCAUGGUGUAGAUUAAGAUGGAGGAGCAGAUGUUGGAGACACACAUCCCAGUUCCUCUCCAGUUUCGGUGCAGAUGACUCAGUGGCGACAUGAGGCACUCCGUGGGCUGCAUAGGUCUGAUGACAUCACACUGAUCUGAAAAUCCAAGUUGUAGGUCUCCAUGUUCUGAGAGAUGAAUGUGGAAGAGGAUUGAAGAUGGUAAAGACUGAAGGAAAUGAUCUGAAGUCAACGGGACAGUGGGUCCAGUAAUCUGAGCGUUCAGUUGGAGGCUGGAGAAUGGCAUCAGAGGGAGCUCGGUCAUUUUUUUGUCCCGGUUGUUCUCUACCCCAAUGAGACCAGGCAUCUGUCAUUUCUCUGAUCCACAGAACAAUGUGCCACAAAGGUUGUCACCAUGAUAGCUCUGGCGUCUGGCUGAAGUGCUGACAUUCAGCAUGCAUUUUCUGAACUGCGCUACUUUCCAAUGAAUUCAGGCUGCCAGUUGGAAGGGGACGACCAGUGGAAGAAGCCAGGCAGAUUGGGGAAGGUGUGAAGGCUAGAUCUCCCAACUAAGCAUGCAGGCUUCCAGAACUCAGGGAAGAAAGUGAGAUUUGGCAUAUCAGAACAAAUGGAAUUUGUGGGAGAACUCUCAGAGUGAUGAGCUCUCUGUCU
rnacentral:lncRNA from 1 species